GACAGAGGGUGCAAACGUUGUUCGGAAUUACUGGGCGUAAAGCGAGUGUAGGCGGUCCGAUAAGUCAGGUGUGAAAGCCCUGGGCUCAACCCAGGAAGUGCACUUGAAACUGACGGGCUAGAGUAUCGGAGAGGUUGGUGGAAUUCUCGGUGUAGAGGUAAAAUUCGUAGAUAUCGAGAGGAACACCGGUGGCGAAGGCGGCCAACUGGACGAAUACUGACGCUGAGACUCGAAAGCGUGGGGAGCAAACAGG
rnacentral:rRNA from 1 species